rnacentral:lncRNA from 1 species
AGGCUAUACGUACCCUCCAACACACGGGGGAUUGAUCGAUUGAUUUCAGUGCGGCGUGAUCGACUUGCGAUGGCGCCGCCGGGGUCGAUGUCCCGAAAGGGAUAGCACGUUUUUUCUUCUUCUUUGAGAUGAAGUGGGUCGCAAUUGUAACUCCUAAGUUCCCUUGCCAGUUGCCACGACCCGCCCCGGAGGACACCCAUAAUUUCAGCGCUGAUGACUCGAACUUAAAAAAAGAGAAAAUUCCGUUUUCAACCUGUACUUGUAGACGAUGUUCAAGAUGAAACCCUGGCUUUUUAAUCUCUGAAAUCGGAACCCUGAGCUCGUUAAUCCCGGUCAAUUAUGAACUUAAAGUUGUUUGGCAUGCUAGGAAAAGGAUGAUGCCGGUCGGGAUUUCUACUUUAAAUCCUGAUCUUUUAUGCAAAGUCUGAAUUGAACCCUAACAUCUUAAUUCUUGGAUUUCCAAUCCUAACCUUACAAAUCCUGAUUAAUUAGGGCAUUUAUUCCUAGAAAAUCCAUUUGGUGGAGGACUGUCGGCACCUGGAGGAGCAGCGUCGCACGUAGGGCCCCGAGGGGUGGCGGCGGAGCUUUGGCAAGCCGGCGAAUUUUUUGUGAUUUUUUUUUUCUCCUAAACCUUAUCGUGUCGGGUGUGUGGCGUGACCGCCACUGAUGAGGCGCCCCAUCAGUAACGGGUGGCCUGCCCGCCACUGAUUUGCACCUCAUCACUGGCAUGCAGGUUGCGGUGGGUGAGACGCGCUACUGAUGUCAUUUUACGCCCGUUACUCAUGAUUCAUUAUGUAGUAGUGACAUAGACUUAAAUCACGAGAAUUUGUAAACCUACUCAUCAAUCCCAGAACCAUGUUAGCGAAAACGAUCAACCAAAUAUGAUUUCUAGGAUUAAGGGUUUUAAUUAACCGAGAUUAGUAAGGUCGGGGUUCGAAAUUCAAGUAUUAGAAGGUUAAGGUCCAAUUCAGACUUUGUCUACGAAGUCAGGGUUUAAAAUAGACUUUUCUCUUACAAAAACGAGCCAGGGUUUCUGAGUAGGUGGUACUAGUACCAACGUAGUAGCAGUUGUACCAACGUUCCAGCGUGGCAGGGAGGUGGAAAGUGGGUUUGGCCACGUUGGCGCUGACUAGUGUGGGACCAACAGGUCAUAAACUCCGUUAAGUGGCCAAACAGCCCGUUAGAAGAUUAGACCAACAACCCGUAAAAAAUGC